UACGUAGGGGCUAGCGUUGUCCGGAAUCAUUGGGCGUAAAGCGCGUGUAGGCGGUCCGGUAAGUCCGCUGUGAAAGUCGGGGGCUCAACCCUCGAAUGCCGGUGGAUACUGUCGGGCUAGAGUGCGGAAGAGGCGAGUGGAAUUCCUGGUGUAGCGGUGAAAUGCGCAGAUAUCAGGAGGAACACCUAUUGCGAAGGCAGCUCGCUGGGACGUAACUGACGCUGAGACGCGAAAGCGUGGGGAGCAAACAGG
rnacentral:rRNA from 1 species